rnacentral:rRNA from 1 species
UACGUAGGGUGCAAGCGUUAAUCGGAAUUACUGGGCGUAAAGCGUGCGCAGGCGGUUGUGCAAGACAGAUGUGAAAUCCCCGGGCUCAACCUGGGAAUUGCAUUUGUGACUGCACGGCUAGAGUGUGUCAGAGGGGGGGUAGAAUUCCACGUGUAGCAGUGAAAUGCGUAGAGAUGUGGAGGAAUACCGAUGGCGAAGGCGGCAUCCUGGACCAAUUCUGACGCUGAGGAGCGAAAGCCAGGGGGAGCAAAACGGGG